GAUGAACGCUGGCGGCGUGCUUAACACAUGCAAGUCGAACGAUGAAGCCCAGCUUGCUGGGUGGAUUAGUGGCGAACGGGUGAGUAACACGUGAGUAACCUGCCCUUGACUCUGGGAUAAGCCUGGGAAACUGGGUCUAAUACUGGAUAUGACUUCUCAUCGCAUGGUGGGGGGUGGAAAGAUUUAUUGGUCUUGGAUGGACUCGCGGCCUAUCAGCUUGUUGGUGAGGUAAUGGCUCACCAAGGCGACGACGGGUAGCCGGCCUGAGAGGGUGACCGGCCAAAUGGGGACUGGGACACGGCCCAGACUCCUACGGGGGGCAGCAGGGGGGAAUAUUGCACAAGGGGCGCAGGCCUGAUGCCGCGACGCCGGGGGGGGGAUGAGGGCCUUCGGGUUGAAAACCUCUUUCAGUGGGGAAGAAGCGGGGGUGACGGUACCUGCAGAAGAAGCCCCGGCUAACUACGU
rnacentral:rRNA from 1 species